rnacentral:rRNA from 2 species
AACGAACGCUGGCGGCAGGCCUAACACAUGCAAGUCGAACGCCCUGGCAACAGGGAGUGGCAGACGGGUGAGUAACGCGUGGGAAUCUACCUUGUGGUACGGAACAACCAAGGGAAACUUUGGCUAAUACCGUAUGAGCCCUUCGGGGGAAAGAUUUAUCGCCAUAAGAUGAGCCCGCGUAGGAUUAGCUAGUUGGUGAGGUAAUGGCUCACCAAGGCGACGAUCCUUAGCUGGUCUGAGAGGAUGACCAGCCACACUGGGACUGAGACACGGCCCAGACUCCUACGGGAGGCAGCAGUGGGGAAUAUUGGACAAUGGGCGCAAGCCUGAUCCAGCCAUGCCGCGUGUGUGAUGAAGGCCUUAGGGUUGUAAAGCACUUUCGCCGAUGAAGAUAAUGACUGUAGUCGGAGAAGAAGCCCCGGCUAACUUCGUG